rnacentral:rRNA from 1 species
AAUAUUGUACAAUGGAGGGAACUCUGAUGCAGCAACGCCGCGUGAGUGAAGAAGGUUUUCGGAUCGUAAAACUCUGUUAUUGGGGGAGAAUAAAUGACGGUACGCAAUGAGGAAGCCCCGGCUAACUACGUGCCAGCAGACGCGGUAAUACGUAGGGGGCGAGCGGUGUCCGGAAUUACUGGGCGUAAAGGGUAGGUAGGGGGCUAUAAAAGUCAGGUGUGAAAUACCAGUGCUUAACACUGGAAUUGCAUUUGAAACUGUGUAGCUUGAGUGCAGGAGAGGAAAGUGGAAUUCCUAGUGUAGCGGUGAAAUGCGUAGAGAUUAGGAGGAACACCAGUGGCGAAGGCGACUUUCUGGACUGUAACUGACGCUGAGGUACGAAAGCGUGGGGAGCAAACA